GAUUGAACGCUGGCGGCAGGCCUAACACAUGCAAGUCGAGCGGUAGCACAGAGAGCUUGCUCUCGGGUGACGAGCGGCGGACGGGUGAGUAAUGUCUGGGAAACUGCCUGAUGGAGGGGGAUAACUACUGGAAACGGUAGCUAAUACCGCAUAAUGUCGCAAGACCAAAGUGGGGGACCUUCGGGCCUCAUGCCAUCAGAUGUGCCCAGAUGGGAUUAGCUAGUAGGUGGGGUAACGGCUCACCUAGGCGACGAUCCCUAGCUGGUCUGAGAGGAUGACCAGCCACACUGGAACUGAGACACGGUCCAGACUCCUACGGGAGGCAGCAGUGGGGGAUAUUGCACAAUGGGCGCAAGCCUGAUGCAGCCAUGCCGCGUGUGUGAAGAAGGCCUUCGGGUUGUAAAGCACUUUCAGCGGGGAGGAAGGCGGUGAGGUUAAUAACCUCAUCGAUUGACGUUACCCGCAGAAGAAGCACCGGCUAACUCCGUGCCAGCAGCCGCGGUAAUACGGAGGGUGCAAGCGUUAAUCGGAAUUACUGGGCGUAAAGCGCACGCAGGCGGUCUGUCAAGUCGGAUGUGAAAUCCCCGGGCUUAACCUGGGAACUGCAUUCGAAACUGGCAGGCUAGAGUCUUGUAGAGGGGGGUAGAAUUCCAGGUGUAGCGGUGAAAUGCGUAGAGAUCUGGAGGAAUACCGGUGGCGAAGGCGGCCCCCUGGACAAAGACUGACGCUCAGGUGCGAAAGCGUGGGGAGCAAACAGGAUUAGAUACCCUGGUAGUCCACGCCGUAAACGAUGUCGAUUUGGAGGUUGUGCCCUUGAGGCGUGGCUUCCGGAGCUAACGCGUUAAAUCGACCGCCUGGGGAGUACGGCCGCAAGGUUAAAACUCAAAUGAAUUGACGGGGGCCCGCACAAGCGGUGGAGCAUGUGGUUUAAUUCGAUGCAACGCGAAGAACCUUACCUGGUCUUGACAUCCACAGAACUUUCCAGAGAUGGAUUGGUGCCUUCGGGAACUGUGAGACAGGUGCUGCAUGGCUGUCGUCAGCUCGUGUUGUGAAAUGUUGGGUUAAGUCCCGCAACGAGCGCAACCCUUAUCCUUUGUUGCCAGCGGUCCGGCCGGGAACUCAAAGGAGACUGCCAGUGAUAAACUGGAGGAAGGUGGGGAUGACGUCAAGUCAUCAUGGCCCUUACGACCAGGGCUACACACGUGCUACAAUGGCAUAUACAAAGAGAAGCGACCUCGCGAGAGCAAGCGGACCUCAUAAAGUAUGUCGUAGUCCGGAUUGGAGUCUGCAACUCGACUCCAUGAAGUCGGAAUCGCUAGUAAUCGUAGAUCAGAAUGCUACGGUGAAUACGUUCCCGGGCCUUGUACACACCGCCCGUCACACCAUGGGAGUGGGUUGCAAAAGAAGUAGGUAGCUUAACCUUCGGGAGGGCGCUUACCACUUUGUGAUUCAUGACUGGGGUGAAGUCGUAACAAGG
rnacentral:rRNA from 1 species